rfam:Beta vulgaris subsp. vulgaris contig132094.1, whole genome shotgun sequence.
GCGCUGUUGGUUAAGUGGUAUAAUAGCUCGUUGCCAACGAGUUGUCCCGGGUUCGAUUCCCGGACGGCGCA